rnacentral:rRNA from 1 species
AGGGAAUAUUGGGCAAUGGAUGCAAGUCUGACCCAGCCAUGCCGCGUGCAGGAAGAAGGUCCUCUGGAUUGUAAACUGCUUUUAUCGGGAAAGAAUAGUUUUCUUGCGAGGGAAUGUGACGGUACCCGAUGAAUAAGCCACGGCUAACUACGUGCCAGCAGCCGCGGUAAUACGUAGGUGGCAAGCGUUGUCCGGAUUUAUUGGGUUUAAAGGGUGCGUAGGUGGUUUUAUAAGUCAGUGGUGAAAGCUGGUUGCUCAACAAUCAAGUUGCCAUUGAUACUGUUAGACUUGAGAGAAGUGGAGGUUCAUGGAAUGGAUGGUGUAGCGGUGAAAUGCAUAGAUAUCAUCCAGAACGUCGAUUGCGAAGGCAGUGGGCUGUACUUUUUCUGACACUGAGGCACGAAAGCGUGGGGAUCAAAC